rnacentral:rRNA from 1 species
CCUUUGUACACACCGCCCGUCGCUACUACCGAUUGAAUGGCUCAGUGAGGCCUUGGGACUGGCGCAGGAGGGUUGGCAACGACCCCCCCGCGCCGGAAAGUUGGUCAAACCCGGUCAUUUAGAGG